GUCCACGCCAUAAACGAUGACAACUAGACGGUUGGGAGGGUAAGCCUCACAGUGUCGCAGCUAACGCGUUAAGUUGUCCGCCUGGGGAGUACGGCCGCAAAGGUUGAAAACUCAAAGGAAUUGACGGGGACCCCGCACAAGCGGUGGAGCAUGUGGUUUAAUUCGAUGCAACGCGAAGAACCUUACCUGGCCUUGACAUGUCUGGAAUCCCGAAGAGAUUUGGGAGUGCCGUAAGGAACCAGAACACAGGUGCUGCAUGGCUGUCGU
rnacentral:rRNA from 1 species